rnacentral:misc_RNA from 1 species
AGAUACCCCACUAUGCCUAGCCGUAAAAAAUUAAUUUACACCAAUAAACGCCAGGGAAUUACGAGCCUAGCUUAAAACCCAAAGGACUUGACGGUGUCCCACCCCACUAGAGGAGCCUGUUCUAUAACCGAUAAUCCACGAUACACCCAACCAUUUCUUGCUUUUCAGCCUGUAUACCUCCGUCGCAAGCUUGCCGUCUGAACGCAUAACAGCAGGCCCAAUGGCCAACCGCCAAAACGUCAGGUCGAGGUGCAGCUAACGAAAUGGUAAGCAAUGGGCUACAAUUUCUAAACUAGAACAAACGAAACACUACAUGAAACAUAGUCAUGAAGGCGGAUUUAGCAGUAAAUAGGGAAUAGAGAGCCCCAUUUAACCCGGCCCUGGGACGUGUACAAACCGCCCGUCACCCUCUUCGACAGUACCCCCCCCCAGCUCCCUAACCUAAACCAUACNCUAUAGAANAGGCAAGUCGAAACAUGGUAAGUAUACUGGAAAGUGUACUUGGAAUAACAAAGUGUAGCUUAAUCAAAGCCCCUCGCUUACACCGAGCAAAUGCCUGUGCAACCCAGACCAUUUUGAGCCUAUAAUCUAGCCCAAAAUCCCCCCAUAUACCAAACCCAGGAAUACCCCCAUAACAAAACAUUUUAUUUUCUUAGUAGAGGUGAUUAAAAAGUAUCUCGGCGCCUUAGAAACAGUACCGCAAGGGAAAGAUGAAAUAAAAAUGAAAUAACUUAAAGCACCCUAUAGCAGAGAUUAUACCUCGUACCUUUUGCAUCAUGGCCCAGCCAGUCCUCCCAAGCAAAAAGAAAUUUCAGCUUGCCCCCCCGAAACUAAACGAGCUACUUCAAAACAGCCUCAAGGGCCAACCCGUCUCUGUCACAAUAGAGUGGGAAGAUUUUUAAGUAGAAGUGAAAAGCCUAUCGAGUUUAGAGAUAGCUGGUUACUCAGUAAAAGAAUAUUAGUUCUGCCUUAAAUUACCCUAUGUUAAUAAACAGACCCCUACAAUUUAAGAGUUACUCAACUAAGGCACAGCUUAUUUGAAACAGGACACAACCUAGAAGAUAGGGUAAAAAUCCAACCCCAUAAAAAGUAGGCCCAAAAGCAGCCACCUUUUAAAAAGCGUUAAAGCUUCCUAUUAUCUAUUAUCCAAUCCCAAUAUACACCAUGAACCCCUCCCCCACACUGAGUGAUUUCAUAAAUAUAUGAAAGACAUAAUGCUGAGACUAGUAACAAGAAUACAACAUUCUCCUAAAUGUAAACUUAACCCAAACCGGAUACACCACUGGCAAUUAACGGAAAUGAGCCAACUACAACAACACAACAAGAAAACCCUGUAGACACCACCGUUAACCUAACACAAGGACAUUUCAGGAAAGAUUAACAGGAAAAGAAGGAACUCGGCAAAUGGCGGCCCCGCCUGUUUACCAAAAACAUCGCCUCUUGACAUCUAUAAGAGGUCCAGCCUGCCCAGUGACAUAGUUCAACGGCCGCGGUAUCCUAACCGCGCGAAGGUAGCAUAAUCACUUGUUCUUUAAAUAGGGACUUGUAUCAACGGCACCACGAGGGCUGUACUGUCUCCUUUUCCCAAUCAGUGAAACUGAUCUCCCUGUGAAAAAGCAGGAAUAACCCUAUAAGACGAGAAGACCCCAUGGAGCUUCAAACCCACCGGCAACUCAUUCACACACUCCCCCUGAACCAAAAGAGACAUGCCCGUAAGUUUUAGGUUGGGGCAACCGCGGAGUAAAAAUUAACCUCCACGACGAAAAGAACUAAACCUUUAUUCAAGAGCCACCCCUCCAGAAAUUAGUAUACUAACGUAAAAUGACCCGAUUAUCGAUCAACGAACCAAGUUACCCUGGGGAUAACAGCGCAAUCUACUUCAAGAGCCCCUAUCGACAAGUAGGCCUACGACCUCGAUGUUGGAUCAGGGCAUCCCAGUGGUGCAGCCGCUACUAAUGGUUCGU